rnacentral:rRNA from 1 species
UACGUAGGGAGCGAGCGUUGUCCGGAUUUAUUGGGCGUAAAGAGCUCGUAGGCGGUUUGGUAAGUCGGGUGUGAAAGCUCCGGGCUCAACUCGGAGAGGUCACUCGAUACUGCCAUGACUGGAGUCCGGUAGGGGGGUGUGGAAUUCCCAGUGUAGCGGUGAAAUGCGCAGAUAUUGGGAGGAACACCAGUGGCGAAGGCGACUACCUGGCCUGUUCUUGACGCUGAGGCGCGAAAGCUAGGGGAGCAAACGGG